UGAGUGUUGGCGAGUCACGUCACGUGACUCACUUGACCUGUAUGCUCAAGGUUGAGGGACGAGCAGUGAAGAAGUAGCAGCCAACGAGAACACUCCUGCUCGUCUCUGAGGAUAAGAAAAGAAUAUACGCGAAUUACUUGGAAGCAUUAGUGAAGAGGAGAUUGUCGAUAAGAAGGCGACGAUCGUUGGAAAUCAAGAGAGGAGGUGUACAUCGCAAUGAGAGGUUGUUAGAAUUACAGAAUGAGUGGGAUCACAUAGAUGUAUUAUAGAAGAAGGCUGUAGAAACUGGAAAUACACCUGGUACUGUUGUGAAUGAAACUGAGAGUAAUGACGCACAGCUUGGAGGUGUGAUGGGGAAUGAAGAUGAGUGCAGGUAGUUCUGCUAGUGUUGGUACCUCACAGCGCGGAGGUGCACCGGAGGUGUGGAUACUUCUGUCCCCAUUAAUGAAGAUGAUGAGAGUAACUACCUCGCAUGACGUGUCUGACAGUAAUGUCGCACACAAUAGUGGAGGUGAAGAUGAGAGCAACUACCUCACAUGAUGAGAGACCAGAAAUUAUCACAUACAUCCAGAAUUUUAGAGGUAGGCAUACAGUGAGGAAAUAUAGUGUUCCUUCAACUUAUAACAGAGAGUUAAGAAUGUAUUUACAUGCUUAUAGGGAUUAUUUUAUAGAUCAGAUGCGAGAUAUGUAUGAUAGAUCACCUCGAGCAAUGUCGCUCAGAAUCCACCCGAUUGUAGUUACAAGGACAUUACGUCAAAACAUUUCGGGUGAUGAUCAAAAUGGACAAUUUGUGAUAAAUUUAGCGUUUGAGUUAGUAAGUGAAGAGGAAAUCUCUGAAGCAUUUGAUCUAUGGGUGGGAACGAUAUUAGAAAGAUACGAGACAGAGUUGCAAGAUCAGGAAGGAUCUGGUUGGAUCAUAGAUCAAAUCGAAUCUUUCAGUAUCGAAUAUGUUAAAGUAGAAUUCAGAGUACAAGUGGGGUCAUAUGUGGCAUAUCCCAAGAAACUGCGAGGGAACCAAUAUGUAUUUAAUCCAGUGAUUAAUGAUGGGUUAUGUGUACUGCGUGCUUUUGCUGCCUAUCAAUGUCAUAAAAAGAACAUAUCAUAGGGUGAUAUCCCCAGAGCAGUUAAUACUAAGGAAAGAUGUCUUAAUCAUGCAAAAUCUUCUAUAGAUGAUUUUCCCAUUACGCGUGAUAAGUUAGGUAUAUUAGAGAAGGAAAAUAGUGUCAUUAUAUGUUUAUCAAUUAAGAAAGGAUCAAAGUGGGACAUUUGUGGCAUGUGUCGUAAGGGGAAUAAGAAAUAUAAGGACAUUAUGUGCGCGUUAUUGUUGAAUGAAAGUCAUUUGGUUUUAAUUAAAGAUUUUGACGGGUAUGUUAGAACGAUAAUGACAGAAAAAGGUGUAAAGAAGCACUGUCAUAGUUGUUUGAUGAAGUUGAAUACACAGGAAGAGUUAGAUAUCCACGAAGAUGGAUGUAAAAUCAAUCAGAUUCUCGUAUU